GGAGUUGUGGCUCCGUGGUAGAGUGCUCGCCUGGCAUGCGUGAGGCCCUCGGUUUGAUCCGCAGCGCCG
rnacentral:tRNA from 1 species